GAAGGCAGCAGGCGCGCAAAUUACCCAAUCCUGACACAGGGAGGUAGUGACAAUAUAUAACGAUACAGGGCCUUUGGUCUUGUAAUUGGAAUGAGUACAAUGUAAAUACCUUAACGAGGAACAAUUGGAGGGCAAGUCUGGUGCCAGCAGCCGCGGUAAUUCCAGCUCCAAUAGCGUAUAUUAAAGUUGUUGCAGUUAAAAAGCUCGUAGUUGAACUUUGGGCCUGGGCGGGCGGUCUACCUAUGGUGAGUACUGCUUCGGCCGGGUCUUUCCUUCUGGCUAGCCAUUUGGCGAACCAGGACGAUUACUUUGAGGAAAUUAGAGUGUUCAAAGCAGGCCUUUGCUCGGAUAUAUUAGCAUGGAAUAAUAGAAUAGGACGUAUGGUUCUAUUUUGUUGGUUUCUAGGACCAUCGUAAUGAUUAAUAGGGACGGUCGGGGGCAUCAGUAUUCAGUUGUCAGAGGUGAAAUUCUUGGAUUAACUGAAGACUAACUACUGCGAAAGCAUUUGCCAAGGACGUUUUCAUUAAUCAAGAACGAAAGUUAGGGGAUCGAAGAUGAUCAGAUACCGUCGUAGUCUUAACCAUAAACUAUGCCGACUAGGGAUCGGGUGGCGCUAUUUUGCCCACUCGGCACCUUACGAGAAAUCAAAGUUUUUGGGUUCUGGGGGGAGUAUGGUCGCAAGGCUGAAACUUAAAGGAAUUGACGGAAGGGCACCACCAGGAGUGGAGCCUGCGGCUUAAUUUGACUCAACACGGGGAAACUCACCAGGUCCAGACGUAAUAAGGAUUGACAAGUUAGAGACUUCUCUUGAUCUUACGGGUGGUGGUGCAUGGCCGUUUUUAGUCCUUGGAGUGAUUUGUCUGCUUAAUUGCGAUAACGGACGAGACCUUAACCUGCUAA
rnacentral:rRNA from 1 species